AAUAUUUGCUCUUAUUAUCUUCUAUAAGAUUUGAACAUUAGUUUUUGGAGAUUAAUGCGUGUAUUGUAAUAUGUAUCCGAAAUGUUUUGAUAUGGUGGUCUAGCACCUCACGAGAAUUUAUGAAAUUUCUGUAUAAAAAACGCGCGUUUGAAACUUAACCUAUUACGGUCUAUCGUCUAUGGAGUUUUUAAAAAUUAUUAGUGGUUUAUUGGGUAUGCAAUAAUGUUUCAUGUGGUCAGGAAGUUGCAACUUGAGGAACAUGACCGUCUGUACUGUGGAGUAGACAAUGAGUUAUAAGCUUUUUUUGGAACGUGGUCUGACUUUUCAUUGCUUCUUUGCCAAUUCUACGGUUCGCCCUUGCAUCCUGCAACUAGGCUAUGCAUCUUGAUGAUCGAGUUAUAGCAGAGCGCUACAUGCUGACAGUUGAGCAUCCGCAUAUUGAGGUGCUGAGUUUCACGUGUUCAUAUCGGUAUUUGUGCCAAUGAAUUGACGAUUCGUCGCUUGUUUGCAACAAUUUUGUAUUAUUUGUUCGCUUCUUCUCUCUACGCUUCGAGGCCGGAUACAACGUAUUUGAUAUGUAUUGGAUAGUUGACCGCAUAAUCCGUACAUAACUACAGUCUGAUGAUCUCGAGUAGAGCGAACUUCUCUUGAAGCAUGAGAUGGAAUUGUGGAGAUUGAUGAAUUUGUCGUAUGUUUCUACUUAAGGAAUUUCUACAAACGGAAGUGACUUUUGGAGGUUUUGUGCACAACAGUGUGCUCAUCUUCACAACUUGCUGUCACCAACUCUUAACAUUUACAUAAGUUAGGUGUGCGUGAAGAGUAUUCAUUUUAUGUUCUUUCCCAUCGGGUUAAGGGAUAUCAAUUGAGUGAAAUUGCAAGCUCUUUCUCAAGUAGAUCCCAGAAGAGAGACGGUUCCGAUUCUAGUAUGUAGAAUCUAUCAUUGGAGGAAUUGGAGUAAGUUUCUACAAGUCAUAAUCUCGUACGGAGGCUUAUUUUCUUUUGGCCAAGUUCGAAUUAACAGCUUCCUUAAAUGCGAGAUUAAGUUGCUUAUCCAGAAGUGAGUCAUCGCUACAUAGAUGUUGGCGAUUACGUCACUAGCUCCUUGCAUUGUAGUGGCCUUAUGAAUUGUAUUGAAUGUUCGGCCUUCGACCUCACUUUCCUCUGAUCAUCACUGGUCCAGACAUGUGUCUACAAGUGUAAUUUUGGUAGAUGCACCACUAAUUAUAGGAUUGCGUCUUUCGCAACAGAAUUGACAGGGGCUCUACUUGAGCACGGACCGCGAUUCAAACUCCAUCAGUAGCCUGUAGGGCACGCCAAGUAUAGUGGCCAGCUCUUGAAAGCGGAUUGUAGUUGACGUGCAUCUAGCAGUGCUUCAAAUUCAACACGUGAUGCGUGGAGGCUUCUCUUCCGGAAAUAUGUAGUGGUAACUGAAACAGCAUGCAGUCAACUGCGUCGAUGGAUUUGCAAUCACCUUGGCAGCAUUUGCAAGGAGCAAAUUCUAACAAUCCGAUGCCAACUCAGUUUCAACGUCGUUCAGACGUGUUGAAGUCCAGUGUGAGUUCCGAGUAUCACACUGUACAAUACCUGGAUCUUCAAGCGAUUUACGAUGGCGAUUCCAUGGAUCUACAUGACGGAAUUCAUGAGGUUUCGCUGUCUGACCACAUCAAUGGCUCCGUGAGUAACAGACAUCCCAGUCGUUCUUGUUCACAGAAGAAGUCUUUUCGGCUUUGGAUCAUCAAGUGAGGGCACCAGCUAGAAGAAGGGGCAGCUGGCGAGCCUCAGAGUGUGGAUUGGGAAUUACUGAAGCUGAAGGUGAUAACAAGAAUAAUUCAUCAUCAGAUGAGUCCUGUUCCGUGCGUUUUGACGAGGUCAGGCAUGAUCAUCAGACAGGCUCUUUGGAUCGGGAUUGGAAUUCAUACCAAAUCCAGUUGGAUGUUUCGAGACUGGAACAUGGGAUGUAUAAAUUAGACCUCCUAUGUACGCAACAGCCGGGUGCUUUUGUGCAACUUACUCAAGCCUUUGAGGCAUUUGUGAUUCAGAUUGUCCACACCAACAUGAUAGCCAUCACCUCCAAGGUUAUCUGCUCCUUCAUUGUCAAAAUGAGCAGCUGGAAUGACAUGGAAAUGAAAGAAGUGAAGGUUGACACAAAACGCUUACUAAGACAAUUUGGAUUGCAGUUUUCAUAGAAUACUCUGAAGGACUAACAAGGCAAAGAUUGCCAAAAUGGAAUCAGUCGUACCAUCUUGGAUAGGUAACAAUGCUUGUCAACAUCUAAGUCCGCAUUUCAACAUAGUAGGGAGUGGAAUUUUGAGAUUUCAAUGAACUCAUUAUGAGGCUUGGCGCAAUGCUGGGUGGUUGAUGGCAGCUCUACGCAUGGUGUUAGAUUCAGAAUGCUGUGGUGCACAUUUUGGAGGAGUUAGGUAAUGCGGAAGGCACAAAUUGGUCCAACAUUAAAAAUAGACUUAGAGAGAGAUAUAUAAAACCCUCUGUAUUGUUGUUUAAUCUACUGCAAUUGGAUCUUGA